rnacentral:rRNA from 1 species
UACGGGGGGGGCAAGCGUUGUUCGGAAUUACUGGGCGUAAAGGGCUCGUAGGCGGCCAACUAAGUCAGACGUGAAAUCCCUAGGCUCAACCUAGGAACUGCGUCUGAUACUGGAUGGCUUGAAUCCGGGAGAGGGAUGCAGAAUUCCAGGUGUAGCGGUGAAAUGCGUAGAUAUCUGGAGGAAUACCGGUGGCGAAGGCGGCAUCCUGGACCGGCAUCGACGCUGAGGAGCGAAAGCUAGGGGAGCAAACGGG